AUUGAACGCUGGCGGCAGGCUUAACACAUGCAAGUCGAGCGAGCGGCGGACGGGUGAGUAAUGUCUGGGAAACUGCCUGAAGGAGGGGGAUAACUACUGGAAACGGUAGCUAAUACCGCAUACCAUCAGAUGUGCCCAGAUGGGAUUAGCUAGUAGGUGGGGUAAUGGCUCACCUAGGCGACGAUCCCUAGCUGGUCUGAGAGGAUGACCGGCCACACUGGAACGGAGCCACGGUCCAGACCCCUACGGAGGGCACAAGGGGGGAAUAUUGCACAAGGGGCGCAAGCCUGAUGCCGCCAUGCCGCGUGUGUGAAGAGGUCCUUCGGGUUGUAAAGCACUUUCAGCGGGGAGGCGUUACUCUCAGAGGAAGCACCGGCUAACUCCGGGCCGGCAGCCGCGGUAAUUC
rnacentral:rRNA from 1 species